rnacentral:rRNA from 1 species
AGUGAACGCUGGCGGUAGGCCUAACACAUGCAAGUCGAACGGCAGCACAGUAAGAGCUUGCUCUUACGGGUGGCGAGUGGCGGACGGGUGAGGAAUACAUCGGAAUCUACUUUUUCGUGGGGGAUAACGUAGGGAAACUUACGCUAAUACCGCAUACGACCUACGGGUGGAAGCAGGGGAUCUUCGGACCUUGCGCGAUUGAAUGAGCCGAUGUCGGAUUAGCUAGUUGGCGGGGUAAGGGCCCACCAAGGCGACGAUCCGUAGCUGGUCUGAGAGGAUGAUCAGCCACACUGGAACUGAGACACGGUCCAGACUCCUACGGGAGGCAGCAGUGGGGAAUAUUGGACAAUGGGCGCAAGCCUGAUCCAGCCAUACCGCGUGGGUGAAGAAGGCCUUCGGGUUGUAAAGCCCUUUUGUUGGGAAAGAAAAGCAGCAGGUUAAUACCCCGCUGUUCUGACGGUACCCAAAGAAUAAGCACCGGCUAACUUCGUG